rnacentral:rRNA from 1 species
UGUAGUCUCAACGAUGAUGCAUACAUGUCAACUAUGGGUGUUGGCUCCAACAAUUCGCAUUGGUCUCAAACCAAUGACAUGCAUUUCGAAGACCAUGAGUUCGAGGUGGACGAGGAUGGUGAGGGCAUUGUCAACGCGCCGAAAGGAAGAGCGGGCAAUUACACCAACGCCGAAGACAUCUUACUAUGCAAUACUUGGUUGCAAGUGUUGAGGGAUCCAUCUGUUGGGGACCUUUGCAGAAAUUAA